rnacentral:rRNA from 10 species
GCUUACGGCCAUACCACCUUAGUCACGCCCGAUCUCGUCUGAUCUCGGAAGCUAAGCAGGGUCUUGCCUGGUUAGUACUUGGAUGGGUGACCGCCUGGGAAUACCUGGUGCUGUAAGCA